rnacentral:rRNA from 1 species
AUUGAACGCUGGCGGCAGGCCUAACACAUGCAAGUCGAGCGGAUGAAGGGAGCUUGCUCCUGGAUUCAGCGGCGGACGGGUGAGUAAUGCCUAGGAAUCUGCCUGGUAGUGGGGGAUAACGUCCGGAAACGGGCGCUAAUACCGCAUACGUCCUGAGGGAGAAAGUGGGGGAUCUUCGGACCUCACGCUAUCAGAUGAGCCUAGGUCGGAUGAGCUAGUUGGUGGGGUAAAGGCCUACCAAGGCGACGAUCCGUAACUGGUCUGAGAGGAUGAGCAGUCACACGGUAACUGAGACACGGUCCAGACUCCGACGGGAGGCAGCAGUGGGGAAUAUUGGACGAUGGGCGAAAGCCUGAUCCAGCCAUGCCGCGUGUGUGAAGAAGGUCUUCUGAUUGUAAAGCACUUUAAGUUGGGAGGAAGGGCAGUAAGUUAAUACCUUGCUGUUUUGACGGUACCAACAGAAUAAGCACCGGCUAACUUCGUG